AGUCCGUUUCCUGUUCAACGAGGGAAGAAAAGGGAAAGUAGAAAAAGUUCAGAGCGAGCAAGGAGGAAACGAUGGGACACUCCCCGCUGAGGGGCUCAAAAACGCGAGGGGCCCUCUCCGUAAAAGCAGGGUUUUAACCGUGUGGGCUGCUUGACUGCGUAGAUCUUUUGACAUAACUCCAGCUCUUCCUCGCGUGCAAGGUUGCCGAGGAAGAAAGUGGAAAGUGGUAUCUUUGAAAGAAUUUUACGAGAAAGCGUGAGAAAGCCAAACACGCUUGGGGACCUGUAGUGUCGUAUAACCCGCCUGUCCGACUCGUUUAGCAGUCCACGUGCCCUCUGUGUGCCACAGCUGCUGCAACAUUGAUACAGAAGUAGGUGUCUUGUGUGUUUCCCCAACAACUUGAGCGUCGGUUCCCUCAAAGAGAGUUAACGGACUCUUUAAUCGACUCCUACGAUCAUCC
rnacentral:lncRNA from 1 species